UGAAAUUGACUUAGUAGGAUACAGACCUGUUUUCGACAUUCACCUGGAAAGGCUAACACAACAGAUUUCAAAUGGGUUUGUCUUCUGUAGAUCCGUAUUCAUACGCUAUACCAGAUUUCGGUACCAAAAGAUUUCGAUUUCGUCACGAUAUGUGGAUUGACAUAUAAACGGAUCAUAAAUGAUGGAGACCGACGGAAACACAUAUUUUAUGAAACGAUUCCAAUGCCAUCAUAUGCAAUGAUUGUUGUGGUUGAUUCAUUAUCUAAAUCUGAUUUGCAAGACAACAUCGCUCUAUGGACCGAAAAUAAAUAUAUUGAACGAAGCAAAACAGCUUUGGCACGUAUAAAUGGAAUGCUCGAAGCUGCCGAAGCUUAUACGGUCCCCGGUAUAAAGACAUGGUUUCAUGGUCUUGGUCAUUAGAAACUAGUACCCGAUUUAAGAGGUGUUUUGCCCACACUCAUCACAAUAAAUGACGUACAUGACGAAAUGGGAUAUUUGCUUUUGAAAUACUUACAACUUUCCUUAGGGAGACCAUUAACUUUCGAACUAUAUCUCAAACGUUAUACGAAAAAAUUUUGUUUCAAAAGUAUAAACACUAAUGAUUAGGUGAACCAUCUGUAUGAAUUUUUUGUUUCCAAACAUGAGGAAGUAAACUCUAUAUUGGAUAAUUGGACUGCGCAUAAGAGAUAUAUAUAAUACAUAUCCCCAUAUGUAUUCUCAUGUCUCUAGAGGAUAGUGAAUGUUCCAAGUCAGCGAAACAGUGGGUCCAGAUAGAACCACUUAUUGAUAAGAAGUAAAUGGAUGGAAAUGGUUCAACCUGCUUUGGAAUUUGCCCGCGAAUAUUGUGCGCCAACAUUUACCUGUUCAAUAUUUCGCAAAUUAAACGAAGUGGAAGAAACGCGUCACUUGGCGAUCUGAGGAUUUACUGCUAUUGUGAAAGAGAAAUGCAAGAUGCUUCCCGAAACCAUGGAGGAAGUGGCAUCCAUUCUUAAAAUGAAUUUAAAGGAUAUAUGUGUAUUAAAUGAAGAAAAUCUGCAUAUAGAACAAGACGAUGACAGUUUAAGUCUAGAAAAAAUCGAAGAAUUAUUUGCUAAAUUGAUGGAACGAAAUAUUUGAACACUAAUUUAAGCAAAUAUAUAAUUAUGCGAGUAUGGGCCGGUUGUACCAUCUUCAAAUAAACUAUGUGGUAACUUACCUAUUGGAUAAACAAAAGAGUAAAAGAAUAAGAGCAUAAAAGAGUAAGAGAGUAAGACAGUGAGCUGAAGUUUAUUGAAAAGUAGA